AACGAACGCUGGCGGCAUGCCUAACACAUGCAAGUCGAACGAGACCUUCGGGCCUUGUGGCGCACGGGUGCGUAACGCGUGGGAACCUGCCCUUAGGUUCGGAAUAACUCAGAGAAAUUUGAGCUAAUACCGGAUGAUGUCUUCGGACCAAAGAUGUUUCGCCUUUGGAUGGGCCCGCGUUGGAUUAGCUGGUUGGUGGGGUAAAGGCCUACCAUGGCGUCGAUCCAUAGCUGGUCUGAUAGGAUGAUCAACCACACUGGGACUGAGACACGGCCCAGACUCCUACGGAAGGGAGCAGUGGGGAAUAUUGUGCAAUGGGGGAAAGCCUAAUCAAGCAAUGCCGGGUGAGUGAUGAAGGCCUUAGGGUUGUAAAGCUCUUUUACCCGAGAUGAUAAUGACAGUAACGGGAGAAUAAGCUCCGGCUAACUACGUG
rnacentral:rRNA from 1 species